AGGAGUUACUAAUCAGAAUACUCGAAUCUCGGAGGACGGAAAUAGCUCAACAUAGGGUCAGAUGCGGGUGCUUGGAGCAUCCACAUAACAGAGGCGGCUGCGGUCCUGGCCCUCUGAGGUGACUGGGCACUUAGGUCAGUGGCCCUGACCACAACGAUGCCACUGUGCACAGCACGGUGCACAGGGACCCUCACUGCUCCUCGCGAGCGCGGUGCGGGCUCCACCCAUUCUCCGCAUUCAAGCUCCACGCCCGCUUCACCCACCCGAGGCACUGGUGCUACUGCGGUGUGUGCCAAACUCAGAAAUCCCCAAACCACCAGCCCGGCCUGUUUCAGGGGAAGCUCCAAGCACCCCUCUCCCAAACCUUUCUCCAUCCAGCCCAUCACCGCUUAAAGCCUGGGGCUUUCACAACCGAAAAUGCAGGUGGGGAUUCUCUGCCGGAAGCAUGGGAUUUCUGUUUUUGGCUCAACAUCCCCCAAACCAUUCAUAAACCCUCGAAGCAAUGAAAGGCGGAACAGAGAGGAGAAAAAACACUCAACAGCAGCAAGAGACAGUCCACAAACUAAAAUCCAUCCUGACACGGCCCCUGUGGGUUGGGCAGAGGAUUCCUCAGCUCGGACACCCAGCCUCACCACCCCAAGGGGGAAUUCCCAGGGACCUCCACAAUGCAGCACCUCCCUGCGAGCAGUUUUCCCUGCCCCCCAGUGGGCAGACGUUGAGUUCCAUCAGUGUGCAACCUUAGCAAACCUCUCUGUCACCCAGUGGCAUGGCCAUCCCGUCUUCAACAAGUUGAGGAAAUUAAUGCUGCCUGGGUAGGAAAUGACAGGCCUGGUCUAACGGACUCCUAGCAUCUGCUCUUAACUAUCAUACUAUGAGGAAGUCCAGCGAAGGAAACACUGCCGUCUGACCUAAGGCACC
rnacentral:lncRNA from 1 species